GACGAACGCUGGCGGCGUGCUUAACACAUGCAAGUCGAACGAAGAGCGAUGGAAGCUUGCUUCUAUCAAUCUUAGUGGCGAACGGGUGAGUAACGCGUAAUCAACCUGCCCUUCAGAGGGGGACAACAGUUGGAAACGACUGCUAAUACCGCAUACGAUCUAAUCUCGGCAUCGAGGAUAGAUGAAAGGUGGCCUCUACAUGUAAGCUAUCACUGAAGGAGGGGAUUGCGUCUGAUUAGCUAGUUGGAGGGGUAACGGCCCACCAAGGCGAUGAUCAGUAGCCGGUCUGAGAGGAUGAACGGCCAAAUUGGGACUGAGACACGGCUCAGACUCCUACGGGAGGCAGCAGUAGGGAAUCUUCCGCAAUGGACGAAAGUCUGACGGAGCAACGCCGCGUGAGUGAUGACGGCCUUCGGGUUGUAAAGCUCUGUUAAUCGGGACGAAAGGCCUUCUUGCGAAUAGUGAGAAGGAUUGACGGUACCGGAAUAGAAAGCCACGGCUAACUACGUG
rnacentral:rRNA from 1 species